AAGCUUUCAGAAGGGGGCGCGCGCGAGCUUGCACAAUGCCUGGCAAUGUAAGGAUUUACGACACUGCUCGGUAUUGUUUAUUAAACUACUGCUGACGGCUUACUCUUAAUACCUCCGUGGUGAAAUGAACCGGGACUAUACGACAAGAACUCUUCACCAGAAUCCAUUUUGGGUAUCACCAGCUGAGGGGAUUACAAGGAAAUUAUCACUUAGUGACUGCACCGAAUAA
ensembl:lncRNA